rnacentral:rRNA from 1 species
AGACGUCUACAUUAGAUACCCGCGUAGUCCCAGCCGUAAACUAUGCGCGUUAGGUGUAUCGGUGACCACGAGUCACCGAGGUGCCGAAGGGAAACCGUGAAACGUGCCGCCUGGGAAGUACGGUCGCAAGGCUGAAACUUAAAGGAAUUGGCGGGGAGCACCACAACGGGUGGAGCCUGCGGUUUAAUCGGACUCAACGCCGGGAAGCUCACCGGAUAAGACAGCGGAAUGAUUGCCGGGCUGAAGACUCUGCAUGACUAGCUG